AUUGAACGCUGGCGGCAUGCUUUACACAUGCAAGUCGAACGGUAACAGGGAGCUUGCUCCGCUGACGAGUGGCGAACGGGUGAGUAAUGCGUCGGAACGUGCCGAGUAGUGGGGGAUAACGCAUCGAAAGGUGUGCUAAUACCGCAUACGUACUGAGGUAGAAAGUGGGGGACCUUCGGGCCUCACGCUAUUCGAGCGGCCGACGUCUGAUUAGCUAGUAGGUGAGGUAAAGGCUCACCUAGGCGACGAUCAGUAGCGGGUCUGAGAGGAUGAUCCGCCACACUGGGACUGAGACACGGCCCAGACUCCUACGGGAGGCAGCAGUGGGGAAUUUUGGACAAUGGGCGAAAGCCUGAUCCAGCCACGCCGCGUGUCUGAAGAAGGCCUUCGGGUUGUAAAGGACUUUUGUCGGGGAGGAAAUCCCCAGCGUUAAUACCGCUGGGGGAUGACAGUACCUGAAGAAUAAGCACCGGCUAACUACGUGCCAGCCGCCGCGGUAACAC
rnacentral:rRNA from 1 species